CACCAGCGCCACGAGUGGCCAUCGCGAUUAUUGGGCCUAAAGCGUCCGUAGUCGGGUUUGUGCAUCUUCUGUGAAAUCGCUGCGCUCAACGUAGCGGCAUGCGGAAGACACGGCAAACCUUGAGAUCGGGAGGCGUCAGGGGUACUCCUGGGGGACCGGUAAAAUGGUAUAAUCCCAGGAAGACCACCUGUGGCGAAGGCGCCUGACGAGAACGAAUCUGACGAUGAGGGACGAAAGCCAGGGGAGCAAACCGG
rnacentral:rRNA from 1 species